CAGCUAGCCUUGGACAGGUAUAAAAAUGGCUGCACCAUUCCAGGCUGGCAGAUGAGUAACCGGAGCUGUGUUUGGCAACCCAUGGAUCAGCACACCAGGACUCCAAAAAUAUGGUGUGAUAGUGGCCAGGCUCUUUUUUUUGACAAAUGGGAGCUGUGGGAUACUCCUCCUUCCCUAGAAGCUUUGGCAUAGUCAUGGGUCCCCUCAAGAGCAUUAGUCUGGCAGCACCCCGUGCCUUGGCAGCAGCAGGUAGUGUUUGCUUAGGAAGGAUGGCCAUCAUGUUGUCUUUCUUCCUCCAUCCUACACCGUGUUCCCAUCUCAGGAUGGUAAGACUUGGAAUAAAUACCUCCUGGUGAUGGAAGGAAAGA